CAACAUGCUCUUCUUGAACAUACUUAUGAAUGUUCCGCAUGUGAACCAGCAAAGAACUUUGCUACUCCUCUCUACCGAGGGAUCUUUGAUGUCCUUUGCUUCUUCAAUGGCACAUACUACAUAUCUGAAUCUUUCCACAAGAGUUGAGUUCUUAAUAUCUUCUCCACCACCUUAGCGUCUCGCAUAUCUUCUCCUAGCUAGGUUCCGCAUAUCAUUUUCCACCACCAUGACUCGACAGAAAUAAUCUGUCCAAACCAAUAUCUAAGGAUCUUCGCACUGCUGAGUCUUCAGAAACUCUUCCUCUCCUCUCAUUAACUCUAACCUUCAACAGGUUCAUUCUGUACCAACCCCCCCCCACUAACUAAAGUUCUUAAAAGCCUUCAAAUGAUAUCUCUAUUGCUAGAUCAAGAAAGCAAUGACUUGAUUCCAUCAAAUGUGCAAACUGAAGCUACUGUAAAAUAAUACUGAGAUU
rnacentral:lncRNA from 1 species